rnacentral:lncRNA from 1 species
UAACGCACCUGGGGCCUUCCUAAGUUCCCUCACUGCGUUUGUAUCCAGACCUCCAUGAAAACCAGUAUCUAGUUUAUUUCAUCAUAGAGAAGGAGAUAGUGAACACCUCCAUGUCCAUGCUGUUCUCCAUCAAUCCGGAGAACGGUAAUCUUUACGCACUAAAGACGUUUGACUAUGAGAUAGAGAAGGAGUUCCUUUUCCACAUUGAGGCCAGAGACUCUGGUGUUCCUCCGCUCAGCAGUAACGUGACUAUCCACAUCAUUAUUGUGGACCAGAACGACAACACCCCGAUCAUAGUGUCUCCGUGGCGCGCGCACGGCUCCGUGGUGGGAGAAGAUCCCCAGAUCCACCGAUAAGGAUCCCUGUUUCCAAGGUGAUAGCCAUAGACACGGACUCUGUCCAGAACUCUCGGAUUACAUACCAGUUUCUACAGGUUAUGACGCCACCUUAUUCAGUCUGGACCAAUACAACGGAGAAAUCCGGACUAUGAGAAUGUUCAGUUACAGAGAUCCGCGUCAUAAACGGCUGGUUGUCAUCGCCAAGGACAACGGGGAUCCUGCUCUCUCUGCUACAGUUACCAUAAAGCUCUCCACAGUGGAGACUGCCGUUAAAGCCUACUCUGACAUGACUGAAGUGCCUCUAGAAUAUGACAUCUUUUCCGAUUUAAACCUGUAUUUGGUGAUCGGCUGGGCUCAGUGUCCUUUUUGUUAUUGAUCACCAUAUUGGUCACCUGUGUGCUGAGGAGUGUCAGAAACCAAUGCCAAGUAAAGCGGCCCCUCCCAGUAGGAACAGCGUGAUCAGCGAGAGGAAUUCGACUAUCGCAGAUUCCACCCUGGUCUCCAACGAUGCCUAUUGGUACAGUCUGUUUCUAGCGGAGACGAGGAAAGGAAAGCUGGUAGUCAGACAGCCUGUGCCAAAGGCAGGUUCCAGAUACAUCGUGUCCAGUCUACCAAGGAGCACGGGAUUGACAGAGACCAGUGACUCAGCAGCCUCUACUCUGCAGUAGGAACAGCGUGAUCAGCGAGAGGAAUUCGCAUCGCAGAUUCCACCCUGGUCUCCAACGAUGCCUACUGGUACAGUCUGUUUCUAGCGGAGACGAGGAAAGGAAAGCUGGUAGUCAGACAGCCUGUGCCAAAGGCAGGUUCCAGAUACAUCGUGUCCAGUCC